ensembl:snRNA U6 U6 spliceosomal RNA
GUGCUUGCUUCAGCAGCACAUAUACCAAAAUUGGAAUUAUACAGAGAUUAGUAUGGCCCCUGCACAAGUAUGACAUGGAAAUUCAUGAAGCGUUCCAUAUUUUA